AACGAACGCUGGCGGCGCGCCUAAUACAUGCAAGUCGAGCGAGAAGACGUAGCAAUACGUUUGUAAAGCGGCGAACGGGUGAGGAAUACAUGGGUGACCUACCCUCGAGUGGGGAAUAACCAGCCGAAAGGUUGGCUAAUACCGCGUACGCUUCCCAGUCUACGGGUUGGGAAGGAAAGCGAUGCCGUGGGUAUCGCGCUCAAGGUUGGGCUCAUGUCCUAUCAGCUUGUUGGUGGGGAACGGCUCACCAAGGCAACGACGGUAGCUGGUCUGAGAGGACGAUCAGCCACACUGGCACUGCGACACGGGCCAGACUCCUACGGGAGGCAGCAGUAAGGAAUAUUGCGCAAUGGGCGAAAGCCUGACGCAGCGACGCCGCGUGGGGGAUGAAGGUCUUCGGAUUGUAAACCCCUUUCGGGAGGGAAGAUGGAACGAGCAAUCGUUCGGACGGUACCUCCAGAAGCAGCCACGGCUAAC
rnacentral:rRNA from 1 species